rnacentral:misc_RNA from 1 species
GAUGAAGAACGCAGCGAAAUGCGAUAAGUAGUGUGAAUUGCAGAAUUCAGUGAAUCAUCGAAUCUUUGAACGCACAUUGCGCCCUUUGGCAUUCCGAAGGGCAUGCCUGUUCGAGCGUCAUUUAUCAACCCUCAAGCCCGGCUUGCGGUUGGGUCCCGCCGUGGGCGACCACGGCGGACCCGAAAGGUAAUGGCGGUGCCCGUGGGGCCCUGGACGCAGCGAGCUUCUCGGCACGCGUCCCGGCGGUCCCCGGCGCCGUCUCCACCAAUCCACCACGCAGAUUGACCUCGGAUCAGGUAGGGAUACCCGCUGAACUUAAGCAUAUCAAUAAGCGGAGGA